rnacentral:misc_RNA from 1 species
AAGGAGCACCACGAGACCUGUGACCCGCCCACAUCGUGUGGGGGUUCGGAGAUCCAGGCGAUUCUGUGGAUGGCUUUCACCUGUAGUGGGUGAGGGUCUGGUGCACAACAAACGUGUUGUGGCUCAAGGGAAAUUGAGUCAUGCGGGAAAUCAUCGGACACACUAUUGGGCUUUGAGGCAACAAGCCCGCUAUCUCUUCGUCCCGAGUGUGGGAAACCGGGGAUAGGGAUUGGUUGUCGCCCUGCUUUGGUGGUGGGGUGUGGUGUUUGAUUUGUGGAUAGUGGUUGCGAGCAUCUCGCAUGUGAGGGCGCCGGCUCCUUCGGGGGUUGGUGUUUUUGUGUGCGUGAUAAUGCAAUUUUUGAUUCUUCCGAGAAUUUUUAACUGUUUUGUG